UUGGUACUUGGAGAGUGGUUAUCCCUGUCCUGUUCGUUUUGCUCGUGUCGAAUCGUACAGGGUCAUCCACUUUUUCAGUAUCAA
ensembl:miRNA MIR487B microRNA 487b